rnacentral:lncRNA from 1 species
UCAACGAGGAGUUCUCAUACUCAUGUCACAUGAGAACUCAUGGUUGGGAUAAUGCAAAGUAGUCUUUUGACCUGAGGCAUCAUAGUUGUCUUGUGGUUAAGUCCUUGAUCUUUGAUUAUGUCAAAGUCACUCCAUCAGGAGGGUGUCCAUGGCAUCGUUGGGGUUAAGCCACUUAGCCAUGGAGGCAAGUGAAUGCGCAACAAGGGAUCUCUAACCUUCAAACCGUUUGGGGGAGAAUACUCUAUGAUAUGAUUAAGAAUCUCUGGCCAGAGUAUGAAUGAGAUUUAGGAAGUAGUUCCAAAUCACAUUCAAGGUAAUCAUAUAAGCACACGAAUCACAUUGGAUAGUAGACAUGAAUAAACUAUCAAACCAAACAAUGUGGUCAAGAGUAUUGUAUUAGAGAAAGACCGUAUUGCAUUUGUAAUCCUAAACUGAAUAGGUUCUCCACCUCUUUUGAUUAGCUUG